rnacentral:tRNA from 1 species
GCCCUUGUGGCGGAAUGGUAGACGCGGCAGACUCAAAAUCUGCUGUCCUUGCGGAUGUGCUGGUUCGAAUCCAGUCAAGGGUA